rnacentral:rRNA from 1 species
UACAGGGGGUGCAAGCGUUGUCCGGAAUCAUUGGGCGUAAAGCGCACGUAGGCGGUCUGUUAUGUCGGAUGUGAAAGCCCUUGGCUUAACUGAGGAAGUGCAUCCGAAACUGGCAGGCUAGAGUACUAAAGAGGGUCGCGGAAUUCCCGGUGUAGAGGUGAAAUUCGUAGAUAUCGGGAGGAACACCGGUGGCGAAGGCGGCGACCUGGGUAGAUACUGACGCUGAGGUGCGAAAGCGUGGGGAGCAAACAGG